CAAAGAUUUCCGAAUGGGGGAACCCAGCAUUUUUUAUAGAAUGUUACUGCUAGCUGAAUACAUAGGCUAGUAGAGGUAGACGCAGAGAACUGAAACAUCUAAGUACCUGCAGGAAGAGAAAGAAAAUUCGAUUCCCUGAGUAGCGGCGAGCGAAACGGGAAGAGCCCAAACCAAAGAGCUUGCUCUUUGGGGUUGUAGGACACGACAUUAAGAGUCAUAAAUGAGUUUUGUAGAAGAAGCGAUCUGGAAAGGUCCGCCGAAGAGGGUAAAAGCCCCGUAAUCGAAACAAAGUUCACUCUGUUGUGUAUCCUGAGUACGGCGGAACACGAGAAAUUCCGUCGGAAUCCGCGGGGACCAUCCCGCAAGGCUAAAUACUCCUUAGUGACCGAUAGUGAACCAGUACCGUGAGGGAAAGGUGAAAAGAACCCCGGAAGGGGAGUGAAAGAGCUCCUGAAACCGUGUGCUUACAAAUAGUUAGAGCCCGUUAAUGGGUGAUAGCGUGCCUUUUGUAGAA
rnacentral:rRNA from 1 species